ensembl:misc_RNA Metazoa_SRP Metazoan signal recognition particle RNA
GCUGGGUGUGGUGGCGCAUGUCUGUAAUCCAGGCUACUUGGGAGGCUGAGGCAUGAGAAUCACUUGAACCCAGGAGGCGGAGGUUGCAGUGAGCUGAGAUUGCACCACUGCACUCCAGCCUGGGUGACAGAGUGAGACUCUGUCUCAC